GACGAGCGCUGGCGGCGUGCUUAACACAUGCAAGUCGAACGGAAAGGCCCUGCUUUUGUGGGGUGCUCGAGUGGCGAACGGGUGAGUAACACGUGAGUAACCUGCCCUUGACUUUGGGAUAACUUCAGGAAACUGGGGCUAAUACCGGAUAGGAGCUCCUGCUGCAUGGUGGGGGUUGGAAAGUUUCGGCGGUUGGGGAUGGACUCGCGGCUUAUCAGCUUGUUGGUGGGGUAGUGGCUUACCAAGGCUUUGAGGGGUGGCCGGCCUGAGAGGGUGACCGGCCACAUUGGGACUGAGAGACGCCCCAGACUCCUACGGGAGGCAGCAGUGGGGAAUAUUGCACAAUGGGCGGAGGCCUGAUGCAGAAACGCCGCGUGCGGAAUGCCGGCCUUCGGGUUUUAAACCGCUUUCGCCUGUGACGAAGCGUGAGUGACGGUAAUGGGUAAAGAAGCACCGGCUAACUACGUG
rnacentral:rRNA from 1 species